GACGAACGCUGGCGGCGUGCUUAACACAUGCAAGUAGAACGCAGUUGCGAACGGGUGAGUAACGCGUAGGUAACUACCUAUUAGAGGGGGAUAACAAUUGGAAACGAUAGCUAAUACCGCAUACUAGUAGCUGGACGUGCGUUGUAUUAGCUAGUAGGUAGGGUAAUGGCCUAAUUAGGCAACGAUACAUAGCCGAGUUGAGAGGGUGAUCGGCCAAACUGUGACUGUGGCACUGCUCAGACUCCCAGGGGAGGAAGGAGGAGGGAAGCUGCGGAAAUGGGGGGAACCCGGACCGAGCAACGCAGCGUGAGUGAGGAAGGUUUUCGGAUCGUAAAGCUCUGUUGUUAAGGAAGGGGUACUUAGACAGAAAGGGACGGCUAACUACGUGCCAGCCGCCGCGGUAAUUC
rnacentral:rRNA from 1 species